rnacentral:rRNA from 1 species
GAGCAAAGGAUAGACAGCGCCCGCGGAGCUCGCUCCCGGGGCUACCCUACUCCCGUAGGGUUUAGAGUCGUCGGGCCUCUCGGAGAAGCUCGGUCCUGAACUCCACCCUUGAAUAAACUACCUUUGUUGCUUUGGCGGGCCGCCUCGUGCCAGCGGCUUCGGCUGUUGAGUGCCCGCCAGAGGACCCCAACUCUUGUUUUUAGUGAUGUCUGAGUACUAUAUAAUAGUUAAAACUUUCAACAACGGAUCUCUUGGUUCUGGCAUCGAUGAAGAACGCAGCGAAAUGCGAUAAGUAAUGUGAAUUGCAGAAUUCAGUGAAUCAUCGAAUCUUUGAACGCACAUUGCGCCCUCUGGUAUUCCGGGGGGCAUGCCUGUUCGAGCGUCAUUAUAACCACUCAAGCUCUCGCUUGGUAUUGGGGUUCGCGGUUUCGCGGCCCCUAAAAUCAGUGGCGGUGCCUGUCGGCUCUACGCGUAGUAAUACUCCUCGCGAUUGAGUCCGGUAGGUCUACUUGCCAGCAACCCCUAAUUUUUUUAAGGU